UACAGAGGGUGCAAGCGUUGUUCGGAUUUACUGGGCGUAAAGGGCGCGUAGGCGGCGUGACAAGUCACUUGUGAAAUCUCCGGGCUUAACUCGGAACGGUCAAGUGAUACUGUCGUGCUAGAGUACAGAAGGGGCAACUGGAAUUCUCGGUGUAGCGGUGAAAUGCGUAGAUAUCGAGAGGAACACCUGCGGCGAAGGCGGGUUGCUGGGCUGAUACUGACGCUGAGGCGCGAAAGCCAGGGGAGCGAACGGG
rnacentral:rRNA from 1 species